GGGCCCGCACAAGCAGCGGAGCAUGUGGUUUAAUUCGAAGCAACGCGAAGAACCUUACCUAGACUUGACAUCCCCUGAAUUACCUGUAAUAAGGGAAGCCCUUCGGGGCAGGGAGACAGGUGGUGCAUGGUUGUCGUCAGCUCGUGUCGUGAGAUGUUAGGUUAAGUCCUGCAACGAGCGCAACCCUUAUCAUUAGUUGCUACCAUUAAGUUGAGCACUCUAGUGAGACUGCCCGGGUUAACCGGGAGGAAGGUGGGGAUGACGUCAAAUCAUCAUGCCCCUUAUGUCUAGGGCUACACACGUGCUACAAUGGUGAAUACAGAGAGAUGCAAACCCGCGAGGGUGAGCCAAACUUCAAAAUUCACCUCAGUUCGGAUUGUAGGCUGAAACCCGCCUACAUGAAGCUGGAGUUGCUAGUAAUCGCGAAUCAGAAUGUCGCGGUGAAUGCGUUCCCGGGCCUU
rnacentral:rRNA from 1 species